rnacentral:rRNA from 1 species
AUGGCUUCUCUUGUCAUGCUUGUGGCGUGGGAGCUUUGGAAUGAGCGGAAUGUUAGGAUCUUCAACAACAAGUUUGUGCCCUCAUCCAUAGCCAUGUCCAGGAUACGUUGUGAGGUGAAGAAUUAGGGGCUUGUGGGCUCAACCCAUUUGUGUAAAGUAAUACCGAGAGAGUAG